GAUAAAAUGGAUUAAAUGCUUGUCCCGUCUUUUAUUUUUUAUUUUUUUAUUUUUUCCUCGCUUUUUUCGGUUUUUCUUUUAGGUUUCCGAGACUUCAAAAGCAUUUAAUUUUAAAAAUGCAAUUCUGUUUUCUGUUUAUUUUUAGAAUAUUUGAUUGAAUAAAUAAAAAUUUCAUUUUUCUUAUGGGAAAGAAUAUUUCUUUGGUAUUGCUCGAGUCAAUUUUGAAGAAGCGAAGUCUUUUUUUUUUCCAUCCCCUGUUUUCGUUCCUUAUAAUUUUAUUUUUCUAUCUCAUAAGGUUGUUGUUACAAAGCUAACAAGUUGCGUCGUAACAACACUUAAUUAAAUUAAAGAGAAUUAACAAAGGUAUUGUCUAGAAAAGAUGUUCUGUAGAAAAAUGUUACUCAUCCCCUGUAUUCCAUCACCAGCUCAAUUUAUAUCCAGGAGGGAUGGGAGUGGUCACAUGACGAAGGACACGCCUCGUCUGUCUCCGGGCAUUUUCCUUUUUUUUUUUUUUUUUCCUCUCUUUUUUCCCCCUCCUCCCCUGUAUGUGUGUGUGUGUAGUGCAGCAAAGUGCAGUUCAGCAAGUUUGUCUCCCGAAUCG
rnacentral:lncRNA from 1 species